rnacentral:rRNA from 1 species
GGGUUGUGAGGUUAAGCGACUAAGCGUACACGGUGGAUGCCCUGGCAGUCAGAGGCGAUGAAGGACGUGCUAAUCUGCGAUAAGCGUCGGUAAGGUGAUAUGAACCGUUAUAACCGGCGAUUUCCGAAUGGGGAAACCCAGUGUGAUUCGUCACACUAUCAUUAACUGAAUCCAUAGGUUAAUGAGGCGAACCGGGGGAACUGAAACAUCUAAGUACCCCGAGGAAAAGAAAUCAACCGAGAUUCCCCCAGUAGCGGCGAGCGAACGGGGAGCAGCCCAGAGCCUGAAUCAGUGUGUGUGUUAGUGGAAGCGUCUGGAAAGGCGCGCGAUACAGGGUGACAGCCCCGUACACAAAAAUGCACAUGCUGUGAGCUCGAUGAGUAGGGCGGGACACGUGGUAUCCUGUCUGAAUAUGGGGGGACCAUCCUCCAAGGCUAAAUACUCCUGACUGACCGAUAGUGAACCAGUACCGUGAGGGAAAGGCGAAAAGAACCCCGGCGAGGGGAGUGAAAAAGAACCUGAAACCGUGUACGUACAAGCAGUGGGAGCACGCUUAGGCGUGUGACUGCGUACCUUUUGUAUAAUGGGUCAGCGACUUAUAUUCUGUAGCAAGGUUAACCGAAUAGGGGAGCCGAAGGGAAACCGAGUCUUAACUGGGCGUUAAGUUGCAGGGUAUAGACCCGAAACCCGGUGAUCUAGCCAUGGGCAGGUUGAAGGUUGGGUAACACUAACUGGAGGACCGAACCGACUAAUGUUGAAAAAUUAGCGGAUGACUUGUGGCUGGGGGUGAAAGGCCAAUCAAACCGGGAGAUAGCUGGUUCUCCCCGAAAGCUAUUUAGGUAGCGCCUCGUGAAUUCAUCUCCGGGGGUAGAGCACUGUUUCGGCAAGGGGGUCAUCCCGACUUACCAACCCGAUGCAAACUGCGAAUACCGGAGAAUGUUAUCACGGGAGACACACGGCGGGUGCUAACGUCCGUCGUGAAGAGGGAAACAACCCAGACCGCCAGCUAAGGUCCCAAAGUCAUGGUUAAGUGGGAAACGAUGUGGGAAGGCCCAGACAGCCAGGAUGUUGGCUUAGAAGCAGCCAUCAUUUAAAGAAAGCGUAAUAGCUCACUGGUCGAGUCGGCCUGCGCGGAAGAUGUAACGGGGCUAAACCAUGCACCGAAGCUGCGGCAGCGACGCUUAUGCGUUGUUGGGUAGGGGAGCGUUCUGUAAGCCUGUGAAGGUGUACUGUGAGGUAUGCUGGAGGUAUCAGAAGUGCGAAUGCUGACAUAAGUAACGAUAAAGCGGGUGAAAAGCCCGCUCGCCGGAAGACCAAGGGUUCCUGUCCAACGUUAAUCGGGGCAGGGUGAGUCGACCCCUAAGGCGAGGCCGAAAGGCGUAGUCGAUGGGAAACAGGUUAAUAUUCCUGUACUUGGUGUUACUGCGAAGGGGGGACGGAGAAGGCUAUGUUGGCCGGGCGACGGUUGUCCCGGUUUAAGCGUGUAGGCUGGUUUUCCAGGCAAAUCCGGAAAAUCAAGGCUGAGGCGUGAUGACGAGGCACUACGGUGCUGAAGCAACAAAUGCCCUGCUUCCAGGAAAAGCCUCUAAGCAUCAGGUAACAUCAAAUCGUACCCCAAACCGACACAGGUGGUCAGGUAGAGAAUACCAAGGCGCUUGAGAGAACUCGGGUGAAGGAACUAGGCAAAAUGGUGCCGUAACUUCGGGAGAAGGCACGCUGAUAUGUAGGUGAAGUCCCUCGCGGAUGGAGCUGAAAUCAGUCGAAGAUACCAGCUGGCUGCAACUGUUUAUUAAAAACACAGCACUGUGCAAACACGAAAGUGGACGUAUACGGUGUGACGCCUGCCCGGUGCCGGAAGGUUAAUUGAUGGGGUUAGCGCAAGCGAAGCUCUUGAUCGAAGCCCCGGUAAACGGCGGCCGUAACUAUAACGGUCCUAAGGUAGCGAAAUUCCUUGUCGGGUAAGUUCCGACCUGCACGAAUGGCGUAAUGAUGGCCAGGCUGUCUCCACCCGAGACUCAGUGAAAUUGAACUCGCUGUGAAGAUGCAGUGUACCCGCGGCAAGACGGAAAGACCCCGUGAACCUUUACUAUAGCUUGACACUGAACAUUGAGCCUUGAUGUGUAGGAUAGGUGGGAGGCUUUGAAGUGUGGACGCCAGUCUGCAUGGAGCCGACCUUGAAAUACCACCCUUUAAUGUUUGAUGUUCUAACGUGGACCCGUAAUCCGGGUUGCGGACAGUGUCUGGUGGGUAGUUUGACUGGGGCGGUCUCCUCCUAAAGAGUAACGGAGGAGCACGAAGGUUGGCUAAUCCUGGUCGGACAUCAGGAGGUUAGUGCAAUGGCAUAAGCCAGCUUGACUGCGAGCGUGACGGCGCGAGCAGGUGCGAAAGCAGGUCAUAGUGAUCCGGUGGUUCUGAAUGGAAGGGCCAUCGCUCAACGGAUAAAAGGUACUCCGGGGAUAACAGGCUGAUACCGCCCAAGAGUUCAUAUCGACGGCGGUGUUUGGCACCUCGAUGUCGGCUCAUCACAUCCUGGGGCUGAAGUAGGUCCCAAGGGUAUGGCUGUUCGCCAUUUAAAGUGGUACGCGAGCUGGGUUUAGAACGUCGUGAGACAGUUCGGUCCCUA